UACGUAGGGUGCGAGCGUUAAUCGGAAUUACUGGGCGUAAAGCGUGCGCAGGCGGUUUGCUAAGACAGGUGUGAAAUCCCCGGGCUUAACCUGGGAACUGCGCUUGUGACUGGCAGGCUAGAGUACGGUAGAGGGGGGUGGAAUUCCUGGUGUAGCAGUGAAAUGCGUAGAUAUCAGGAGGAACACCGAUGGCGAAGGCAGCCCCCUGGGCCUGUACUGACGCUCAUGCACGAAAGCGUGGGGAGCAAACAGGAUUAGAUACCCG
rnacentral:rRNA from 1 species